GACGAACCGAGCAAACGUUAUUCGGAAUCACUGGGCUUAAAGGGCGCGUAGGCGGGCAUCCAAGUCUGUGGUGAAAUCCGGCAGCUUAACUGUCGAACUGCCGUGGAUACUGGGUGUCUCGAGGGAGGUAGGGGCGUGCGGAACUUCCGGUGGAGCGGUGAAAUGCGUAGAUAUCGGAAGGAACGCCGGUGGCGAAAGCGGCACGCUGGACCCCUUCUGACGCUGAGGCGCGAAAGCCAGGGGAGCGAACGGG
rnacentral:rRNA from 1 species